AACGAACGCUGGCGGCAGGCCUAACACAUGCAAGUCGAACGAGAAGCCACCUUCGGGUGGUGGACAGUGGCAGACGGGUGAGUAACGCGUGGGAACGUGCCUUUCGGUUCGGAAUAACCCAGGGAAACUUGGGCUAAUACCGGAUACGCCCUUCGGGGUAAAGAUUCAUUGCCGAAAGAUCGGCCCGCGUCGGAAUAGCUAGUUGGUGGGGUAAUGGCUCACCGAGUCGACAGUCCGUAGCUGGUCUGAGAGGAUGACCAGCCACACUGGGACUGAGACACGGACCAGACUCCUACGGGAGGAAGCCGUGGGGAAUAUUGGACAAUGGGCAGAAGCCUGCUCCAGCCAUGCCGCGUGGGUGAAGAAGGCCUUAGGGUUGUAAACCCCUUUCAGCGGGGAAGAUAGUGACGGUACCCGCAGAAGAAGUCCCGGCUACCACCGUGCCAGCAGCCGCAGUAA
rnacentral:rRNA from 1 species